rnacentral:rRNA from 1 species
CAGUCGCCGCGGUAAUACGUAGGUGGCAAGCGUUGUCCGGAAUUAUUGGGCAUAAAGGGCUCGCAGGCGGUUUCUUAAGUCUGAUGUGAAAGCCCCCGGCUCAACCGGGGAGGGUCAUUGGAAACUGGGAAACUUGAGUGCAGAAGAGGAGAGUGGAAUUCCACGUGUAGCGGUGAAAUGCGUAGAGAUGUGGAGGAACACCAGUGGCGAAGGCGACUCUCUGGUCUGUAACUGACGCUGAGGAGCGAAAGCGUGGGGAGCGAACAGGAUUAGAUACCCCUGUAGUCCCUGUCUCUUAUAC